CCUAGUACGAGAGGACCAGAGUGGACUUACCGCUGGUGUACCAGUUGUCUCGCCAGAGGCAUCGCUGGGUAGCUAUGUAGGGAAGGGAUAAACGCUGAAAGCAUCUAAGUGUGAAACCCACCUCAAGAUGAGAUUUCCCAUGAUUUUAUAUCAGUAAGAGCCCUGAGAGAUGAUCAGGUAGAUAGGUUAGAAGUGGAAGUGUGGUGACACAUGUAGCGGACUAAUACUAAUAGCUCGAGGACUUAUCCAAA
rnacentral:rRNA from 1 species